GCGGGGUGGGAUGAACUAGGAAAGGCUC
rnacentral:piRNA from 1 species